rnacentral:lncRNA from 1 species
GUUAGCAGACUAUCUUGCAAAUUUAGCAUUGGAAAAGCAGGAAUUUAAGUACACAUCAUUCGAUCAGCUACCAAGUACAGGAAGGAGGAUUCUAAAUAGUGAUAAGCAACAAUGUCCUUACUUGAGAGUAGCUUUGACAAAGAGGUACUAAGACUACUAAGACUAGGUAGAUUCAUAAUUAGCAGGUCACAGGCUACAUAUUUACAAUUAGUAAAGUUACACCCAAAAGGAGAGAUACUACUUAUUCUAUCUACACCAGCCAACAAAAUCAGAUUUUCACUAGACCGGGUCUCAUGGUCAAAUUGUCAGUGCAUGUGACUAAAGUCGUUGAUAGCAUCCAAUUACAUGUGGGUUCGAGCUUCUUACUAUCUCCCUUCCUUCCAUAACUACAAAUGCAAAAAAAUUCAAAUAAGGGACAAAUCUGAGCAUAUUCUUAAGUGGAUGAGGAAGUAUCUAAUACCUGGAUACAACAUCAAUCUUUAGUGGAUGAGACCUGGCUUGCUAGCACCAAGAAGUAUUUUUCACACCCUUACACUGAAGA